rnacentral:rRNA from 1 species
AACGUAGGAGACAAACGUUAUCCGGAGUUACUGGGCGUAAAGGGCGUGUAGGUGGUUUCGUAAGUCUGGCGUGAAAUUUUUCGGCUUAACCGGGAAGGGUCGUCGGAUACUGCAGAACUAGAGGACGGUAGAGGCGUGUGGAAUUCCGGGUGUAGUGGUGAAAUGCGUAGAGAUCCGGAGGAACACCAGUGGCGAAGGCGACACGCUGGGCCGUACCUGACACUGAUGCGCGACAGCAUGGGGAGCAAACAGG